rnacentral:rRNA from 1 species
CCCUUAGAUGUUCUGGGCCGCACGCGCGCUACACUGAUCAGUGCAACAAGCAUCCGUCCUUGGCCGACAGGCCCGGGCAAUCUUUGAACGCUGUUCGUGAUUGGGAUAGACCUUUGCAAUUAUGGGUCUUCAACGAGGAAUUCCUAGUAAACGCAAGUCAUCAGCUUGCAUUGAUUACGUCCCUGCCCUUUGUACACACCGCCCGUCGCACCUACCGAUUGAAUGGUCCGGUGAAAUCUCGGGACGGCGGCUUGGUCGCUUGCGUCCGACUGCUGAAACUUGAUUAAACCAUAUCAUUUAGAGGAAGGUGAAGUCGUANCA